UACGGAGGGUGCAAGCGUUAUCCGGAUUCACUGGGUUUAAAGGGUGCGUAGGCGGGUAUAUAAGUCAGUGGUGAAAGCUCCGGGCUUAACUUGGAAACUGCCAUUGAUACUGUAUAUCUUGAAUGUCGUAGAGGUUAGCGGAAUGUUGCAUGUAGCGGUGAAAUGCUUAGAUAUGUUACAGAACACCAAUUGCGAAGGCAGCUAACUAUGCGAUAAUUGACGCUGGGGCACGAAAGCGUGGGGAGCAAACAGG
rnacentral:rRNA from 1 species